rnacentral:rRNA from 1 species
UGCCAGCCGCCGCGGUAACACGGAGGGUGCAAGCGUUGUUCGGAAUUGUUGGGCGUAAAGCGCGUGUAGGCGGUUCGUUAAGUCUGAUGUGAAAUCCCGGGGCUUAACCCCGGAACUGCCCUCAAAACUGUCGAUCUAGAGACCGGGAGAGGUAAGCGGAAUUCCUGGUGUAGAGGUGAAAUUCGUAGAUAUUAGGAAGAACACCAGUGGCGAAGGCGACUACCUGGACCGAUAUUGACACUGAGGUGCGAAAGCGUGGGGAGCAAACAGGAUUAGAUA